UGUGAAUUUUGUGCUGCCUCGU
rnacentral:siRNA from 1 species